UUUUAGAACGCUCUAACCAAUAACCGCCAAGUCCCACAAAGUGUCAAGAAUAUUGUCACCAGCAGGGCGACGUUUAACGGAUAGGCGACAAGCAAAAAAGUAUUUGCUGCAAUCCUCGAUCCCACGGGCUGCAUCCCCCAGGGUCUAUAACACUCCGAAGGGAGCUACAUUUCCCCAGUCAUUUUACAACCCCCAAAAUCGACGCUGACCUGCCAAGGAGAAAGUACACCCAACAAAUCUCAAUUCAAAAACCGAGAUGGUUUGACCCUAUCACGAUCCAAAAACUAAAAUUUGGUAAGUUGAUUUCUCAACGGCACGACUG
rnacentral:rRNA from 1 species